AAAAUUGAAGGAACAUCUCUCUCUCUAUCUCAAUCUUUAUUGAACAAUACAAACUCGUCUGCUCACAAUGGAUGCUACACGAGGAAGCUGUUUCUGUAUGAUUAUUCCAUAAUAAUGAGACACCGGACACCAGAGUGUUCAUCAUGUGCCGCUGUAGUGAAAACUGCCGGCCGU